AGCAGUGUGGUAUAGUGGUUUGAGCAUUGGACUUGGAUUCUGGAGGCCAGGGUUCAAAGCCCAGCUCGGCUG
rnacentral:tRNA from 1 species